GAUGAACGCUGGCGGCGUGCCUAAUACAUGCAAGUCGAGCGGACGGACGAGAAGCUUGCUUCUCUGAUGUUAGCGGCGGACGGGUGAGUAACGCGUGGAUAACCUACCUAUAAGACUGGUAUAACUUCGGGAAACCGGAGCUAAUACCGGAUAAUAUCUUGAUUCGCAUGGUUCAAUAGUGAAAGUCGGUCUUUCUGUCACUUAUAGAUGGAUCCGCGCUUCAUUAGCGAGUUGGUACGGUAACAGAUUAUCAAGGCAAAGAUGCAUAGCCAACCUGAGGGUGUGAUCGUCCACCAUGGCAAGGAGACGCGGUCCACGCUGCUGCGGGAGGGAGCAGAACGGCAUCGUCCGCAGUGGGCGGAAGAGUGACCGAGCAACGGCAAGUGAGUUAUGAAGGUCUUCAGGUCGUAAUACUCUGAUAUGAGGGAAGAACAUAUGUGUAAGUAACCGUGCAGAUCUUGACGGUACCUAAUCAAAAAGCAACGGCUAACUACGUG
rnacentral:rRNA from 1 species